AUGGUCUCCAAGAUGGCGCCGUGGUGGUCUAGCAGCAACAACAACAAGGGCGUCGAGGCCCAUGGGCACAGAGGAGAUGUCGAGGAGGUGGUUCCAGAGGCGAGGAACCAUGGCGGGGCGAACGAGCGCCUCGUCCUCUGCUCGCACAUAGCAGAGGCGUGGCUGGAGGAGGAGGCAACAGGGGCGCCGGGGUUGUCGCGGUCGGAGGCCAGGGCCGCGGGGCGGAGCAGCGGGCCUCGUCAGAAAACAGGGGCUGAGAGCGGCCGGGCUUCGGCCGUCGAGGUAGAGGAGGCGCUCGGGGCGGAGCAGAUCACAGCAGCAGCGAGGUGUGGAUGGCGGCGCUCGGGGCUUGAGGCGCGGGGCAGCGACGGCCAUUGGGCUCCUGCUCCUGGUGGUGGCGAUGAACACAGUCGCGGUCAUGGACGAGGGCUGGAGACGGGGCAUGGCGCAGGACCUGUGGGCACUGGAGGCGACGCCGGUCCUCGGACGAUGAGGCAAUGA
rnacentral:rRNA from 1 species